rnacentral:rRNA from 1 species
AUACGUAGGUGGCAAGCGUUGUCCGGAUUUACUGGGUGUAAAGGGCGCGUAGGCGGGAUGGCAAGUCAGAUGUGAAAUCUCCGGGCUCAACCCGGAAACUGCAUUUGAAACUGUCGUUCUUGAGUAUCGGAGAGGCAAGCGGAAUUCCUAGUGUAGCGGUGAAAUGCGUAGAUAUUAGGAGGAACACCAGUGGCGAAGGCGGCUUGCUGGACGACAACUGACGCUGAGGCGCGAAAGUGUGGGGAGCAAACAGGAUUAGAUACCCUGGUAGUCCACACCGUAAACGAUGAAUGCUAGGUGUAAGAGGUAUCGACCCCUUUUGUGCCGGAGUCAACACAAUAAGCAUUCCGCCUGGGGAGUACGGCCGCAAGGUUGAAACUCAAAUGAAUUGACGGGG